rnacentral:rRNA from 1 species
CAGUCGCCACGGGAAUACAGAGGGUGCAAGCGUUAAUCGGAAUUACUGGGCGUAAAGCGCACGCAGGCGGUCUGACAAGUCAGAUGUGAAAUCCCCGGGCUUAACCUGGGAACUGCAUUUGAAACUGUCAGGCUGGAGUCUUGUAGAGGGGGGUGGAAUUCCAGGUGUAGCGGUGAAAUGCGUAGAGAUCUGGAGGAAUACCGGUGGCGAAGGCGGCCCCCUGGACAAAGACUGACGCUCAGGUGCGAAAGCGUGGGGAGCAAACAGGAUUAGAUACCCGGGUAGUCCCUGUCGCUUAUAC